rnacentral:rRNA from 1 species
CCUACGGGAGGCAGCAGUGAGGAAUAUUGGUCAAUGGACGAGAGUCUGAACCAGCCAAGUAGCGUGAAGGAUGACUGCCCUAUGGGUUGUAAACUUCUUUUAUAAAGGAAUAAAACGAGGCACGUGUGCCUUUUUGCAUGUACUUUAUGAAUAAGGAUCGGCUAACUCCGUGCCAGCAGCCGCGGUCAUACGGAGGAUCCGAGCGUUAUCCGGAUUUAUUGGGUUUAAAGGGAGCGUAGAUGGGUUGUUAAGUCAGUUGUGAAAGUUUGCGGCUCAACCGUAAAAUGGCAAUUGAUACUGGCAGUCUUGAGUACAGUUGAGGUAUGCGGAAUUCGUGGUGUAGCGGUGAAAUGCUUAGAUAUCACGAAGAACCCCGAUUGCGAAGGCAGCUUACUAAACUGUGACUGACAUUGAGGCUCGAAAGUGUGGGUAUCGAACAGGAUUAGAUACCCUAGUAGUC